UUGUAUGGCCGAGUGGUCUAAGGCGGUAGACUCAAGAUCUACUUGAGGUAAUCAGCAUGGGUUCGAAU
rnacentral:tRNA from 1 species